UACGUAGGCAGCGAGCGUUGUUCGGAGUUACUGGGCGUAAAGAGUGCGUAGGCGGUUUUCUAAGUUUGGUGUGAAAGCCCUGGGCUCAAUCCAGGAAGUGCAUUGAAUACUGGUAGACUUGAGUGGAGGAGAGGAUGGCGGAAUUCCAGGUGUAGAGGUGAAAUUCGUAGAUAUCGGAAGGAACACCAGUGGCGAAAGCGGCUUCCUGGUCCAGCACCGACGUUCAGGCACGAAAGCGUGGGGAGCAAACAGG
rnacentral:rRNA from 1 species